AGAGUUUGACUCUGGCUCAGGAUGAACGCUAGCGAUAGGCUUAACACAUGCAAGUCGAGGGGCAGCGAGAUGUAGCAAUACGUCGUCGGCGACCGGCGAAUGGGUGAGUAACACGUAUGCAACUUACCUCUUAGUGGUGAAUAACUCGAUGAAAGUCGGACUAAUACACCAUACUCUCCUUAGAUCACAUGAGAAGAGGAGGAAAGAUUAAUCGCUAAGAGAUAGGCCUGCGUUCCAUUAGCUCGUUGGUAAGGUAACGGCUUACCAAGGCAACGAUGGAUAGGGGGACUGAGAGGUUGACCCCCCACAUUGACACUGAGAUACGGGUCAAACUCCUACGGGAGGCAGCAGUGAGGAAUAUUGGUCAAUGGGCGAGAGCCUGAACCAGCCAAGUAGCGUGCAGGAUGACGGCCCUAUGGGUUGUAAACUGCUUUUAUGCGGGGAUAAAGUGCGCGACGUGUCGUGCAUUGCAGGUACCGCAUGAAUAAGGACCGGCUAAUUCCGUGCCAGCAGCCGCGGUAAUACGGAAGGUCCGGGCGUUAUCCGGAUUUAUUGGGUUUAAAGGGAGCGUAGGCCGCCAGGUAAGCGUGUUGUGAAAUGUACCGGCUCAACCGGUGAAUUGCAGCGCGAACUGUCUGGCUUGAGUGCACGGUAAGCAGGCGGAAUUCAUGGUGUAGCGGUGAAAUGCUUAGAUAUCAUGAAGAACUCCGAUUGCGAAGGCAGCUUGCUGCAGUGCGACUGACGCUGAUGCUCGAAGGUGCGGGUAUCAAACAGGAUUAGAUACCCUGGUAGUCCGCACGGUAAACGAUGGAUGCCCGCUGUCCGCCCUUUUGUGGCGGGUGGCCAAGCGAAAGCGUUAAGCAUCCCACCUGGGGAGUACGCCGGCAACGGUGAAACUCAAAGGAAUUGACGGGGGCCCGCACAAGCGGAGGAACAUGUGGUUUAA
rnacentral:rRNA from 1 species